rnacentral:tRNA from 1 species
GGGGGUAUAGCUCAGGCGGUUAGAGCGCUUCACUGAUAAUGAAGAGGUCCCAGGUUCAAGUCCUGGUACCCCCACAA